UACGGGGGGGGCAAGCGUUGUUCGGAAUUACUGGGCGUAAAGGGCCAGUAGGCGGCCAACUAAGUCCGACGUGAAAUCCCCAGGCUUAACCUGGGAACUGCGUCGGAUACUGGAUGGCUUGGAUUCGGGAGAGGAAUGCGGAAUUCCAGGUGUAGCGGUGAAAUGCGUAGAUAUCUGGAGGAACACCGGUGGCGAAGGCGGCAUUCUGGACCGACAUUGACGCUGAGGAGCGAAAGCCAGGGGAGCAAACGGG
rnacentral:rRNA from 1 species